CCGAGUUAGGGUCUUCUCGGCCCGACCUCCCAACCCUUUGUUUACCAAACCAUUGUUGCUUCGGCGGACCCGUCUUAAUUGACCGCCGGAGGACCGCUGCGAGGCGUCCUCUGGCCCGUGUUCGUCGACAGCCCAACCUUCUAAAUUCUGAAUCAAUCGUGUCUUAUGUCUAAGUCAAUGAUAAAUUAAAGCA
rnacentral:misc_RNA from 1 species